rnacentral:rRNA from 1 species
UACGGAGGGGGCUAGCGUUGUUCGGAAUUACUGGGCGUAAAGCGCGCGUAGGCGGACCUGCAAGUCGGGGGGUGAAAGCCCGAGGCUCAACCUCGGAACUGCCUUCGAUACUGCGGGUCUCGAGUCCGGGAGAGGUGAGUGGAAUUCCUAGUGUAGAGGUGAAAUUCGUAGAUAUUAGGAAGAACACCAGUGGCGAAAGGCGGCUCACUGGCCCGGUACUGACGCUGAGGCGCGAAAGCGUGGGGAGCAAACAGG